rnacentral:rRNA from 1 species
GACGAACGCUGGCGGCGUGCUUAACACAUGCAAGUCGAACGGUAAGGCCCUUCGGGGUACACGAGUGGCGAACGGGUGAGUAACACGUGGGUGAUCUGCCCUGCACUUCGGGAUAAGCCUGGGAAACUGGGUCUAAUACCGGAUAGGACCACUGCCUGCAUGGGUGGUGGUGGAAAGCUUUUGCGGUGUGGGAUGGGCCCGCGGCCUAUCAGCUUGUUGGUGGGGUGAUGGCCUACCAAGGCGACGACGGGUAGCCGGCCUGAGCGGGUGACCGGCCACACUGGGAGUGGGAUACGGCCCAGACUCCUACGGGAGGCAGCAGUGGGGAAUAUUGCACAAUGGGCGCAAGCCUGAUGCAGCGCCGCCGCGUGAGGGAUGACGGCCUUCGGGUUGUAAACCUCUUUCAGCACCGACGAAGCGCAAGUGACGGUAGGUGCAGAAGAAGGACCGGCCAACUACGUGCCAGCCGCCGCAGUAA